UUUUUUUUUUCCCACAAUUAAAAUAGCUUUCAACAGAAGGGCACUGCCAUGCAACACCUUCAAGGGUAUGACUUAUUAUUGUUCACUGGGUGAUUAGGAGACUAGGCUUAACCUGCCCGAGCAAUCAGGUGCCUCAAUUUCCUCUUUCCUACAGAAGUAAAAUUUUUAAAUCCUGGUCCCCUUCUCAUUCCUAUUUUCUACAGAUCAAUGAGACUGUUCAUUUCCUUCCUUCCUCCAUAUAAAAAAUGGUGCUGGACCCUGGCCUGUGUGCCAGGUAUCCUAGCCCCCUGCCCAAUAUAAACUUCAGACAGCAGGCCCCCUGCCCUCGUGUUGCUCAGUCUGCUAUCCAUGGCCAGAGGUCAUGAAAACAAGAAAUUCCUUACUGGAGUCACGACAUUCCUCAAAGAUGACAACCUGAUGAGUCUCAAGAAAGAACCAAGACUGUAGUUUCUAUUAAGUUAGGGCACAUCUCAGUAUGAUAAUAUUUUCCUCACCCCCAGCAACAUGGCAUGUAUGCAGGAGAGAACGAGACCCAGGGGAGUCAAAAGGCUGGAGUAACAGUCCAGACCCAGCUUCCUAUGUGACCCCUGAUUUUAUACCAACUAAUAAGAAUCCCACUGACAUACUGGAGAUUGAGAGCUAGGUAUAUUAUUACCUGACAACGUUAUUACAUUACUGAGCAGAAGAGAACUAGAGUGCCGUCUUACAAAAUAAUAAGAUAUGUUCAGACAAGUGAGAUAAACUGACACAUCUAAGUAGAGGGCACAAGAGUCACACCUAAGUCUGGGUUCAAACGACACAAGAAUUGGGACGACUCAAAGAGUGGUACACACUCAAAUUUUCCUCCAAACUCUAACACUGUUUAACACUCUAACACCAUGAGAGAGAAUGUCAUCUUCUCAUUUUAUAGAUCCCAAGGCCCAAAACUAAAGUGCCUUGCUUGGAACAGUGCAAAAGCAUUGAAUAACCACCUCCAAAUUUUCAGUCCAAACGAAGCUCACCAUGAUGCCCCAUUAGCUUCUCAAAAAGGUCCGCCUCUCCUUAUAAAUGGAGUUAAACAGACUUUUCUCAAAUGAGCCAUUGUAAAACACACAAAACAAAAUGAAAUGGUUUACACAACUUAAAGCAAAUGUAAGAGCUUGGGCCCUAGAUCUACACUGCUACAGGACUUCAGGGAGACGACUGAACAGCUCAGUGCCUCAGCUUCCUCAUCCGUAAAAUGGGAAUAAAAGGAAUAACCAGCUCAGAGUUGUGACAAGUAACAGUGCCUGGAACACAUUAAGUGCUCAGCAAAUAUUCAUUACAAUCGUCACUAUUAUAACCUCCCUCUAAAUUCAACUGUCUGGUACUUAGAGGAAUAAACAAGUUUCGCUAUUGCUAUAGACUACAGAAAACGUCUUUAUCAUGUAUUUACAACACAGUCGUUCCUCAAAAAAAAACAAUUUUUUUUAAACAAACAGUAAUUAAAAAGUUCCCUUUCUCAACUGGCCUAAUGUACCCACAUAAACCCAGGCUCCACGCACACCUCAAUUAAAGAACAGUCAAAGGCAGUGUCUGCUCUCUGCAGCCUUUCACACCUCAGCAGAAUGUGCAUAAACAGUCUUUUUGCUUCAGAGGGCUGUUCCGAGAAUAAAUGGUUGUAAAUGCCCUUUGUAAUCUUUUGACAAUGCUGCUAUAUAAGCACACAUUACUCUAGGCUUUAUAAAUUAAGUAUGUGGUUACACAUGACAAUACAAGAAAUGCCUCAAACAUCUUCCCCUUUCCUCAGCAUCCAAUUAAAUUACCAUUUCCCCUAAGAAUUCUGUUUUGUUCUCCCACAAAAAUGACAUCACCACCUAAGACGUUCAAUAUGUGCUAGACCCUGUCGUAAGCACUUCAUAACUCAUGUAAGCCUCACAACAACCCUGCGGUACUAUUUUUCCAUUUUACAGAUGAGGAAACUGAGGUCAAAGGAGAUGAGGCUGGCUAAUUCACAGGACACCAUCGCCUCCCAGAGUGAGAUUUCUGCUCACAACCACCCUCCCCCUGCUCUUAAUCCACAGGCUACCUCGGCCUCCAAAUGUCAAUUCUCUCUUCAAAACCACCACCCCUGCCCGACGGCAAGGUACCUGUGCCUAUUAACACCAGCGCUUUGACAUUUCAAUAAUGGUUACUAAAGCAUGUGGUUUAACUGCUCUGCUAACCCAGAGUCUCCAUGAGGACGGGGCCCCUUGAGCCCUCUGUAUUUACAUAACCCCAGUCCUUCUAAACCUAACACUGGCGCUCAAGAAAGUGAUGAAUGAAUUAAUUAAAGGAGUGUUAAACCAUUGAGGAUCUUAUCAUUCAAGGAGUUCCACUCUUUUUAUACUUCUUAUAUUGCAUUUUAAUAUGAACCUGCAUUUAGGGGUUAAUGUUUUGCUUUUGUUUUCUUUCUAAGCAAAACUAAUCUUAUUUUCUCUGCUCAGGCAAUACAUUUCAUUAAUUACUAAUUCAACAGACCAAAGAAAAACAGGCUAUUCAGCUGUCAGAUCACACAAGACCUUUUUAAUACUUCAGUCUUGUGGAAAUUUUUUAAGCAGAAUUUUUUUUAAAUCCCAUUUCUGUUUUAAUGACUUAAAAAAAGAAACUGCCCUUAUGGGGGGAAAAGAGCAUAUAAAAGGUAAUAAACAUUUAAUGAUCCAAUAAUUGGUUAUAUCAGAGCAAUCGCUGUUCAGUAAUUAACUUCUCUUUCGGCUUGUUCACUUGAUAUUUUGAGCACCCUUCAUGGGCCUGGAAUUAUCCAUAUUAUUUAUAUCAUAAACUAAAACCUUUUGGAGGAGCCCAAAACACAAGAUUUGCAAUCACCCAUAUUCACCUUGGUAACUUUACAAUGUGGCCUAAUUUUAAAAAGCCAACAUGAGUCGCAAAACCAAGAGCAUCCCAAGCCCUCGGCACAGCAUGGGUGCCAAAGCAGCAGAAAUGACACUACUACUAAGCCAUGGGGUCUGUGGACAUGGCAGCAAGGAGGGGUUAAAGGAAAACACAACCAAAAAAUUAGAGCUUAAAAGACAGCAAAAAAUAAUUAAAUCGCACCACCAGGAAAGAAUACAGUGAACAGCUGGUAUGUUGUUACUGUGCAAAAUUACAAUUAAGCUCAGGUUAAUGUCAUUUCCAACUAAUUACCCACAGUCAGUUGGAAGACACACUAAGAGAUUUCACUUUACCCACUCCAACAGUUUUCCCUACUUAGGUGUCUCUGCCAUUGACACAGAUACAAGACUCCUCACAUUUUUUUUUUUUUUGAAGUCACAGCUACACAAAGACACCUAUCUCGGUUCUGUCAAAGGGGUGCCCCUCUUGGCGGUAGACCGUAGGAGCUGCUAACAUUUCAACACCUCCCUUUGGUCACACUCUCUCUGCACGACACUUCCUUCACACCAAAGUAAUGUUCACAGUGUUUCCUCCACAAGCCUAAUUUCCUAUGUCCCAUUCUCAGUCUUUCUCCUCGGUCCCCCUUCCUCCCUGUCUGGGACCCUUCUUUGAAGGUCCUGUUUGAAAAGGACAGUAUUCAUCAUUUGACACUUACUACACAAAUCACUCUUACUACAGAGGCGCAUGGGAGCUUGCAGGAAAAGGAUUACAAAUAACACUUUUUAAGUCUGUCAGGUUUUUUUCUUUACAUGCAUUCAUCCUAACCAGCCACACCCCCACCCCCAAAAAGAAAGGAAACCCACCAGCACCACCAUGGCUAGAAUUCCUGUCAUUCCACUGUCUACCAUGGCUACUUGCCCUACUGGUGAGGGUCCCUCAGGCCACCGCCUUAAAAAAGGAAACUUGUAAAUAAACACAAUAGGACCACGUCUCACAGAGGCUCUGUGGCUUCCACAUCUGACACCAGACACACAGAACUACUUCAACGCCAUUUCCUCUCAAAGAGAGACAAGCUAAUUUGACCUUCCUGAAUCCAUGUCUGCUAAGAGUCAAAGGGGUCAACUCCAAAGCAAGAAUGAGUCUUCUAAACCACUUAAGUUCUUCUAUUACCCAUACACCCUGGGCACUGCCCCAACCUCAUGCCUCACCAAAAACAGCAUAACACCACCCCUCCUGCCUCACAGGUGCCUGGAAGCAGAGAUCAGAUAAUUUAUCUGUUACCUGCACCUCUAAGAAUGUUGGUGGUGGAGAGAAUUAAAAGGAGGGGAGAAGGAGUGGAACGGGUAAUAGUUUCUUUCCUACUAAUGGACAGAUAACUGCAGAGUGCCCUAACAGAUUUCAGUUUCUCUGUGCACACAGGAAUAUUUAUUUUAUCCGUGUGCUGUAACAAAACAAGCCUCUGGUGCACUUUUGGAAAGAUGGAAAGCCAUUCAGAACAGGAUGGCUGGAGUGUUGUCACCUGCUCGAUUGAGACUGGAGAUAACGGAGAUGAGGAGCGUGAGGCGGGGCAGGGAAGCGGGCAGUUGUCUGUCCAGAGCCCACAUGCCUGCCAGGAAAUACAGAUAUGCAGCCGCCAACGUUCUCUUCCUUCACCAGAGCACAGUUGCUCCAGGUCCCUUUACCAGAAGCAUCUCUUUCCAAAGAAAACAAACAAGCCUGCUGUUUAAUACAGCUAGGACUUCUCCCACUAAGACUCUAAUGAUUCUUCAGUGUCCAAAGAAAAAGGAAACAAAUAGGGGAGAAAAGCUCAGGGAAACCUCAUUACCUUGUGGCUUUAAAUGCUCCUGAUGGAAUGGAUCAGAGGAGAGAGAGGGCAGAACUUGGUUUAUUUUCCUUAAGCAAGAAGCUACCUUUUCUCAUGUACUGAGAUAAAGACAUCGGCAGACAUGUUUACUAGGCUACCCUGGCAGUAAUGACAAGACUCAUUUGUUUACCAAAGUCAUAAAUGCCAGGGCUGAUAAUCUGUCCUUACACAUGUUUCAAAACUAUCGUGAGAAUAUUUUCAGUGAAUUCCAUUUCAGAAAAGAUAGAUCUUUGAGCUUAAACUUGAUGUAUGUUGUGAACAUCCAUACACAGUCCCUGUCAGGAACUGAUUUAAGGCUAAAUCAAAAACACAGAUGAACAAUACCAACUCAACAUGCCCCCAAACCUCACAGAAACGAGAAUGAUUAAGCUGUCCCCAGUACAGGAAGGCAGAAUGCUUUUUACACUUCGAUCUCAUUGUACUGCUUUAGCCACCUUUACUCACACUCUGAAUUUCUUAGGAUCUGAGGGGAAGGGGUAGAAGAGAAAAGCUGAGGAAUGGAAUACAAAUCAGACAUUCUGUGCCAUGUUCUAUUUCCUCACCUGGGUCCUGGCUACUUGGGUGCUCACUCUGUGAGAAUUCACUGAACCGUACACCACACUCACUACAGGAUAUAUAUUCCGUUUCAUAAAAUGUACAGUUUUAAAACCAAGCACGCAUGAAUGUAUUUUCAGAAAGGGUUUGGUAACAUAAAAAUUAAUUAUUUUAAGCCACCACCAUUACUGCCACCCCAAGAAAUGACUCAAGAAUAUUUUAUUUUAUUUUAUUUUAUUUUAUUUUAUGGCCACACCCUUGGCAUAUAGAAGUUCCCAGGCCAGGGAUCAAAUCGGAGCUGUAGCUACUGGUCUCUACCACAGCCACAGCCAUAUCUGCAACCCACCUACACCACAGCUAAUGGCAACGUGGGAUCCUUCACCCACUGAGCAAGGCCAGGGAUCAAACCCAAGUCCUGAUGGAUACUAUGCGGGUUCAUUACCACUGCGCCCCCCCAUGGAAACUCCCAAGAAUAUUUGCUAAAAUAGUGAUUCCGAAAGUUAUGUACCAGGGGGCUUGGUAUAAACGAAUUCCUAGGAAGCCUGCAAAAAUACAAAUGUACCAGAGCCAUACAGCAGGGAUUAACUUUUAGGAGCUCAGGGAGAAGGCCCAAGAAUCUGUAAGUUUAACAAGCUACCCUGGGGGUGCAGAUGUGCAAAUGGGUUUGGAAACCAUCAUGAUACAAGGCAAGAAUAACUUGUAAAUUGCAACCAUCGGAAACCAUCCAAUCCAGAUUUUCUGAACCAACGUGGGUGACAAAGUGUAAUUAUUUGGAGAAGUUUUGCAGAAGCUUUGAUAACUGAAAGGGUGCUUGCUCUUACC
rnacentral:lncRNA from 1 species